CCUCUCAAUCUCAAUCACCAUCCCAAAUAAAAUUCUCAUUUCUUCAUCAAACAUUUCAUCCAAACUUUAUUCCCAUCUGCAAUUCCUAUUUCACUUUCUUAUAGCACCUCCUACUUUUCCAUUUUCUUCUAGCUUUUUCCGGUGCAAGAUUUUAUCUAGAAGCACAUGGGGAUAGUGAUGAAUGAAAAUGUGCUUGUUGCCUUGGAAAUGUCUUCUCAUUUCUUUUCUGUGGUUCUCUCUCUUUCUCGAUUUCAUUUUCAUGUCUUCUCACUCUUCUCUCCCUUUUUUCUAAUUGUCUUUUUGUUUUCCAUCGUGACUCUCUCGGUGCUUUAUAUUUUACAACCAAGACUCCUUCGUUUCUCUCUCUUUCUCCCUUCCUUGCUGCCUUGGAAAUGUCUUCAUCUGUCAUCUCCGACACCGCCAGGUCAGGUUCGGACCUGUUUUAUCUACAGCUUAACUUCGUUUCUUAUAAUAGGUCUAAUCUUCCUCCGUCAACAAAGAAUUCAUCAGUAGAUAGUAGAUCGGGUUUCGGAAAGGAUGGAUUAUGGACCAUUCAGAACUCGAAUUCGGGGGAGGUUAAAGUACUACUUUUUAUUCCACUGCUAUAUGAAGAGAGUGGUGCUUGGCUGAGUACACUUCUGGGGCUGUCCAUGGUUGGUGUAGAGAGAGAGAGAGGAGGUAAGGUGGGG
rnacentral:lncRNA from 1 species